rnacentral:lncRNA from 1 species
AGGAAGGGCUCCCUUUUCCCCUCCGCUCCUGCUCCAGCAGCACGAUGUGAUCCACCAGCAAGGAGGGACACCACUAAGGCAUCUGGUGGUCAAGCUCCUGGAGGUGACAUGAAACCUUCGAUACCUUCAGGGACCAUCUAUAGCCAACAUCUGCAGCUCUUAAAAGAUCCAGAAGACUUUUGGGAGAGAUGGGAUACAAAACUAUCCACCACUUCCAGAAAGUCCAGUCUUCCUGUUAUGAUGACAGCUGAGAAGCCAGCUAGAACAACCAGGAAAGAGAAGACAUGGGUGCAUGUUAGCAGCUCACAAAGGCUGAGAGAAUUCACUUCCCAACUCUGCAUUCAAAGACUUGCUGGCAGUCUGGAAUUGGUCACGGAUCGAAGUUGCAAAAACAAACAAACAAACAAAACCCAUUGGAAACUGCUGUCAAUCUAUGUGGAGGUCCUAGGGCGACUCAGCAGUUUGUUUUCUGGUUGUCCAGUAGAUGGCAGUCUACGCACUGGUUUUUCAUUGACCGUCUUCCAUGCAGGAUUCAGCCUUAACCAUGAAAUGAAACACGCUCUUGUUAUUUUGUGUCAUUAUUUUUGAAAAACAUUUUAAUAAAAUAAAGUAAAUAAAAUAUUUACUUCAAAUAUCCACAAA